AUGGCUUGUCUCACGUCUUGUGUUUGUGAGAGCGUUGUUUCAUGUUUGGUAACUGUUCUUUGCUUCUGUGUUGUUCUGCGUUGGAUGUCCGUGUCUUCCCCCGGAACCUCAUCCACUCAUCGCAUCUUCACAAGCAUCACCACUUACCUUCGGCUCGAUUCCCCGCAGUUCCUGUGCCAUCCUCUCCUGCUGCCAACUCACCAUCACCAUCUGGAUUACUCACCGUCUGCCACCAUCUUGGAUUGUCGUCUUCCCAGCGUUGUUUGUAUUCUUGUUUGUUUUGUUUGGUUUUUAUUAAAUUGUUCAUACUCGCACUUGUUUCCAGCUUCUCCUUCACCCAGUCGUCACACUAACUACAUGUUAAGAAAAGAGAUGGUGAGUUCUGGUCUUGUGAAGUUCGAUGAUCACCCUGAGAACUACUGGGCCUGGAAAUCCUCUUUUCAAGAUGUCACAAAAGACCUCGGACUAACAGCCAGAGACCUUCUCACAAAAUGGCUCGGCGCAGAGUCAUCUAUACAAGCCAAAUGCAUCAGGUCGGUUCAUGCACUCUAUCCUAUAGAAAGUGUCUGUAUGCUUUGGCAGCGACUGGAGUUGUGUUAUGGGUGCCCAGAAGUAAUUGAGAAUGCACUGUUGAGAAAACUGGAGGAGUUUCCAAAGAUUUCUAACAGGGAUGGACAAAGACUCAGAGAGUUAGGAGACAUGCUUAUGGAAUUGGAAUCUGCAAAGUCAGGCAGACAUUUACCUGGUUUAGCUAUUCUUGACACAGCAAGGGUAGUCAAUCCCAUCAUUGAGAAGCUUCCCUUUAAUCUGCAGGAAAGAUGGAUCACUCAUGGUGCUAAGUUUAAAGAGGAUUAUCAUGUCUCAUUUCCACCAUUUGGCUUCUUUGUGAGGUUCAUUUGUGACCAAGCAAGAAUAAGAAAGAUCCCAGUUUUUCGCUAUGUAUGCAGUGCCAUUCUAAACAGUAGAAAUUUUCAUGGGUCAGCAACAAAAUACCUGUGUCAGUGA
rnacentral:lncRNA from 12 species